CGGGCCCCUGACGUCACCCGAUUCGCCAGGAAAUGAACUUUUUAAUAAUCCAAGGAGGGUGGAAAGCCCUCGGUCCCCUCGGCUCGGGGGGCGCCCAGCCAGGCGGGCUCAGCUUCUCGGGCGCGCCCCCGUCACCCCCUCCCAGGUCCUCUGCGGACAGCGCUGAGGGGGCGCGCGCACGGCAGGGCCUCCUCCGGCCUCUGCGACUGGCGUCCAUCUGUCUGUCCGAGGCUCUGGAACAGAGUUCCAGGAGGAGAACGCGGUGCGCAGAGGAAGCUGCCUUGGCCGAGUCGGUGCCACGGCUGGCAAGGCGGGGGUCUCCCAGCACCACCCCUGAGAGCAGGAGAAGAUGCCACACGGGAGGUCCUUCUGAAUACAAGACCUUUCCCCUCACCGCUGAGAUAAGCUCAAAUUCAAGCCCGGCCGCCACCGAAUGGUUCAAUGCCCAGCGUCCAGACAGGCCCAGAGCGCCGUCUACGCCUAUGCACGGCGGAUCCCCUAGCCUGCAUCGGCCUCGUUCUUAUUGAAAUCCCACUGAAAAGAUUCCG
rnacentral:lncRNA from 1 species